rnacentral:misc_RNA from 1 species
GAAAUGCGAUAAGUAAUGUGAAUUGCAGAAUUCCGUGAGUCAUCGAAUCUUUGAACGCACAUUGCGCCCUCUGGUAUUCCGGGGGGCAUGCCUGUCCGAGCGUCAUUGCGAACCCCUCAAGCACGGCUUGUGUGAUGGGCCCUCCCGCGUCUUGGUCGUCAAGACGGGCCCGAAAUGCAGUGGCGGCUUCGCGGUUAUCCGAUCAGCCAGAGCGUAUGGGGACUUUCUCUCUGUCACACGCCCGCGGCGCGGACCGACGCCUGUCGACCUUCAUUCAUCGUUUUCUCGGUUGACCUCGGAUCAGGUAGGGAUACCCGCUGAACUUAAGC